GGGACAUGAUUGAUUAUUGGGUUUAGCCAGAAUGACGAAAGGAAAAGAUUGGGUUCUACAAUCAAGAUUAGAAGCAACAGAAAUCGCGCGCUCUGUGCGUGUAAUGCAUGUAACUAGGAAUAUAUGCACGUCUUGAUGUAUGUGUGCGUGCUUUUAUGUGCUUGGGUAUGUUUUCUGUUAUUUGUUGCAAGGUAAGAGCUUUUUGCCCACUAGAAAAUUAUUCAAUGUGCAGGAGAGACCUCCAUUUCCCAACUCUACCUGCAGUCUAGCUUUGUUUGAAAGUGGGUGGGACGUGGAGCUCUUAGUUGUUAUUAAUCUCUUCAAACUGCAUAGUUUUACAGGCUGGCGAAUUUAUAGAAUUUUCUCUUAUUUCAGUUUGUGUCUGCUUGUGUUAAAACAUUUUAUGCUCAAGAGAACCAGAAUUUCCCUAUAAAGCAUGCAUUAGAAAGUACAAGACUAUAACACGCUUUUAAGUUACUAUAAUAAAUUCAUUGUUUUCCUUUUCUUUUGGCAAUCAAUUGCAAUAUAUACGGACAGUGCUUCCAAAUAAAAUAUGUAAAAAAUAUGUAGAACCUAUUUGGCUUAUCCUCGCUGCCUUUCUCUUAUCUUCAGGACUGUAACUGAUCGUCAACGUGCUAUGCUAGAAGAAUUUGCAAAGGAGGAAAUCAUUCGUGAAAAUGACAUGUUUGCUGAAGGCAUUAGGUGGCAGCAAAUUGUUGAACGUCUAUUGGAGCCAAAAUUGCUGCUCCAAUUCUCAUUUUUCAUGUUGAUAAUUCUCUUGCUAAACAAAAUCACCUGAGUGAUGCUGAGGUUGCUGCACGAUUUAUGUCGAUGAGAUGCACAUUUGUUUGGUGAAUGAACAAGUGGCUACUGGGUACCCUUUGAUGGGUGCAAGAUUCCCGUAGCUUCUCUUCUGUUGAUAGUGUUUGAAUGGUAUUUCGACAAAAUUUUACCCCUUUACUUUUGGGUAAUGGAUCAGUGGACAUUAUUUGGAGAAAUGAAUCUGGAUAAGCUAUAAAAUUUCUACUUCCUGUAUUAGCUUUUAUAUCAUCAUUUGUGGUAAUACCUUGAUUUUGUACUUCGUCUA